AGCUUUAUAGUCAAUAAAAAUGAUUUCAAAUUGCAAGUUUGAAGUAGAUGUCAAAUCUAAAGCUU
rnacentral:tRNA from 1 species